GAUGAACGCUGGCGGCGUGCUUAACACAUGCAAGUCGAACGGUGAAGGCGGAGCUUGCUCUGCUGGAUCAGUGGCGAACGGGUGAGUAACACGUGAGCAAUCUGCCCCUGACUCUGGGAUAAGCGCUGGAAACGGCGUCUAAUACUGGAUACGAGCUGCGAAGGCAUCUUCAGCAGCUGGAAAGAACUUCGGUCAGGGAUGAGCUCGCGGCCUAUCAGCUUGUUGGUGAGGUAACGGCUCACCAAGGCGUCGACGGGUAGCCGGCCUGAGAGGGUGACCGGCCACACUGGGACUGAGACACGGCCCAGACUCCUACGGGAGGCAGCAGUGGGGAAUAUUGCACAAUGGGCGAAAGCCUGAUGCAGCAACGCCGCGUGAGGGACGACGGCCUUCGGGUUGUAAACCUCUUUUAGCAGGGAAGAAGCGAAAGUGACGGUACCUGCAGAAAAAGCGCCGGCUAACUACG
rnacentral:rRNA from 1 species